AUUGGGCAUAAAGCGAGCGUAGGCGGCUUGGUAAGUUAGUUGUGAAAGCCCGAGGCUUAACCUCGAAAUUGCAGUUAACACUGUCAAUCUUGAGUACAGUAGAGGAAGGCGGAAUUCCUAGUGUAGCGGUGAAAUGCGUAGAUAUUAGGAAGAACACCAGUGGCGAAGGCAACUUACUGGACUGAAACUGACGCUGAGGCUCGAAAGCGUGGGGAGCGAACAGGAUUAGAUACCCUGGUAGUCCACGCCGUAAACGAUGAGUGCUAGGUGUCGAGGGGGAACCCUCGGCGCCGCAGCUAACGCAUUAAGCACUCCACCUGGGGAGUACGACCGCAAGGUUGAAACUUAAAUGAAUUGACGG
rnacentral:rRNA from 1 species